rnacentral:rRNA from 1 species
GAUAAAGUCCAACUCUUAAGGGUGAGAGCGGCGGACGGGUGAGUAAUGUCUGGGAAACUGCCUGAUGGAGGGGGAUAACUACUGGAAACGGUAGCUAAUACCGCAUAACGUCUUCGGACCAAAGAGGGGGACCUUCGGGCCUCUUGCCAUCAGAUGUGCCCAGAUGGGAUUAGCUAGUAGGUGAGGUAAUGGCUCACCUAGGCGACGAUCCCUAGCUGGUCUGAGAGGAUGACCAGCCACACUGGAACUGAGACACGGUCCAGACUCCUACGGGAGGCAGCAGUGGGGAAUAUUGCACAAUGGGCGCAAGCCUGAUGCAGCCAUGCCGCGUGUGUGAAGAAGGCCUUCGGGUUGUAAAGCACUUUCAGCGGGGAGGAAGGCGGUGAGGUUAAUAACCUCAUCGAUUGACGUUACCCGCAGAAGAAGCACCGGCUAACUCCGUGCCAGCAGCCGCGGUAAUACGGAGGGUGCAAGGGUUAAUCGGAAUGACUGGGCGUAAAGCGCACGCAGGCGGUUUGUUAAGUCAGAUGUGAAAUCCCCGAGCUUAACUUGGGAACUGCAUUUGAAACUGGCAAGCUAGAGUCUUGUAGAGGGGGGUAGAAUUCCAGGUGUAGCGGUGAAAUGCGUAGAGAUCUGGAGGAAUACCGGUGGCGAANGCGGCCCCCUGGACAAAGACUGACGCUCAUGUGCAAAAGCGUGGGGAGCAAACAGGAUUAGAUAC